GUGGGGAAUAUUGGACAAUGGGCGAAAGCCUGAUCCAGCCAUGCCGCGUGAGUGAUGAAGGCCUUCGGGUCGUAAAGCUCUGUGGGGAGGGACGAAAAUACGAGGAGCUAAUACCCCUCGGGUUGACGGUACUUCCUUAGCAAGCACCGGCUAACUCCGUGCCAGCAGCCGCGGUAAUACGGAGGGUGCAAACGUUGCUCGGAAUCAUUGGGCGUAAAGCGCACGUAGGCGGUACGUUAAGUCGGGUGUGAAAGCCCCGGGCUCAACCCGGGAAGUGCAUUCGAAACUGGCGCACUUGAGUAUGGAAGAGGGUCUCGGAAUUCCCGGUGUAGAGGUGAAAUUCGUAGAUAUCGGGAGGAACACCAGUGGCGAAGGCGGAGACCUGGGCCAAUACUGACGCUGAGGUGCGAAAGCGUGGGGAGCAAACAGGAUUAGAAACCCCAGUAGUCC
rnacentral:rRNA from 1 species